rnacentral:tRNA from 1 species
GUAAUACUAGCUUAAUUGGUAAAGCGCCAAUCUGUGGAGUUGUGUUCAUUCCGGUUCAAGUCCGGAGUUUUACCC